rnacentral:rRNA from 1 species
UUGCCUUAGUAGCGGCGAGUGAAGCGGCAAAAGCUCAAAUUUGAAAUCUGGCACCUUCGGUGUCCGAGUUGUAAUUUGAAGAUUGUAACCUUGGGGUUGGCUCUUGUCUAUGUUUCUUGGAACAGGACGUCACAGAGGGUGAGAAUCCCGUGCGAUGAGAUGCCCAAUCCUAUGUAAGGUGCUUUCGAAGAGUCGAGUUGUUUGGGAAUGCAGCUCUAAGUGGGUGGUAAAUUCCAUCUAAAGCUAAAUAUUGGCGAGAGACCGAUAGCGAACAAGUACAGUGAUGGAAAGAUGAAAAGAACUUUGAAAAGAGAGUGAAAAAGUACGUGAAAUUGUUGAAAGGGAAGGGUUUGAGAUCAGACUCGAUAUUUUGUGAGCCUUGCCUUCGUGGCGGGGUGACCCGCAGCUUAUCGGGCCAGCAUCGGUUUGGGCGGUAGGAUAAUGGCGUAGGAAUGUGACUUUGCUUCGGUGAAGUGUUAUAGCCUGCGUUGAUGCUGCCUGCCUAGACCGAGGACUGCGAUUUUAUCAAGGAUGCUGGCAUAAUGAUCCCAAACCGCCCGUCUUGAAA